AUUGAACGCUGGCGGCAUGCCUUACACAUGCAAGUCGAACGGUAACAGGUCUUCGGAUGCUGACGAGUGGCGAACGGGUGAGUAAUACAUCGGAACGUGCCCGAUCGUGGGGGAUAACGAGGCGAAAGCUUUGCUAAUACCGCAUAAGAUCUAAGGAUGAAAGCAGGGGACCGCAAGGCCUUGCGCGAACGGAGCGGCCGAUGGCAGAUUAGGUAGUUGGUGGGAUAAAAGCUUACCAAGCCGACGAACUGUAGCUGGUCUGAGAGGACGACCAGCCACACUUGGAAUGAGACACGGCCCAGACUCCUACGGGAGGCAGCAGUGGGGAAUUUUGGACAAUGGGCGAAAGCCUGAUCCAGCCAUGCCGCGUGCAGGAUGAAGGCCUUCGGGUUGUAAACUGCUUUUGUACGGAACGAAAAGACUCUUUCUAAUAAAGAGGGUCCAUGACGGUACCGUAAGAAUAAGCACCGGCUAACUACGUGCCAGCCGCCGCGGUAAGAC
rnacentral:rRNA from 1 species